rnacentral:lncRNA from 1 species
CCAUUGCACAUGACGUCACAGCGCCGGUGACGAUGCAUCUGGAGGACAAAUUAGCAAUCUAUGCAUAAUAUAACUUUUGUAAACAAAGCAAAUUUUGUAAAACUUUAUAAUAAUUUUGUAUUAAAAUGGUUAGUUUUUGCGCUGUAUGUGGUUGUUGUACCCGAACAGAUAUUGCUAGGGAGCAUCUGGAGGACACUCUAAGGAUUUGUGACGUCACUGCAAAGGGUCUAUAGUUAGUUCUGAGUCGUAUGUAAAGUAAUCUGAAAUCAAGGGGAGGAGGGAGGAGGAGGAGGGAGGCUCAUUGCUAAAAGCUAUAAGUAGGAAAUAAGGGACGAAAAUAAUGAAUAUGUCAAAACCAGUUUAAAUUCCAUAAUAAUCUAAUGGAUAUCUUUGCUUUUUGCGGUGUUUUAGGGAAAGGCUUGCAUGGAUCAAAUGACACAAACGGUAUACUAUCGAUUUUUCAAAUAAUAGUUAUGAUACCAGGCUGCCUUUCAAACAUAGACGUCUGUGCUCAAAAUUUGUAGAUCCCUUGGUAACCGUCAUUUAUUGAAAACAUUGAAUUUAUGAAUUAUGAUAAAUUUAUCUCGUACGGUUUCGACUUCUGCAUUAUGCAGUUUUGGGGGGCAUGAAUUCGCAUCAGGGAAGAGAAGAAUGCUCCCACACGUCGUCAACCUAUAUAAUAACAUUGAACUGAUAACGUGGGCCGACUGGAUUUCUACAUGUACUGUAGGUUCUGUGACAAAGACUUACUGAUACAAAAACGGGAUGGAGGAAAAUAUCGUGCACAUUCUUUGCCUAGGAAGCUUCGUUGUUCAAAGCAUUUACUUGAAGAAGAUCAUGCAUUUCGACUCUAUACUAAAAUGCAAUUGGCAAUACUGGAAAAUGCCCUAUCUGGCAAACUUGAACUGUCUGUUCCAGCGUCAGAUAGUGCCAAUAAUAUUAACAAGCUUUCGUUGGUAGGCAUGCAACUACUUGAAAAAUAUAAGGAGAAUUUUGACGUUUCGAGCGAAGGCCCUUCGUCUGCAGAGUUAGUCUAGCCUAUCCGGCAAAACAAGUCGAAUUACACAAUAUUUUGAUUUUUUUGUAGAAUGUUGGUUUUGAAGGUUUAUACAACGUUUUGUCGACCAUCCCAGUUCUGAAUAAGGUACGUGGAAAUUCGAAUAUAUUAAGACCGUUUUCGACUUCAACCGUAUCGUACAGAGAGGUACUGGUGAGCAUGCGUAGAUUGAAAAGAGGUUCACAAAUUCACGUAUUUCCGCUAUAUAUUCGCGUAUCAAAAUGAAAAUUAAAGUUCACUAAAUUUUAAAAUAUUUUUGGAUAACGUUUAUAUAAGUGGAAAACGCUUCAAGUGCAAGAGACGUUUUGCGAUGAAAAGCGAUCGGUCAGACGUUUGAUUUAGUCAGAUCUAUUUUAUUGAAACGAUAUAUUACGUCACUAAAAAAUGUCACGUGUGGCGGCUUUAUACUGUACCCAAUAAAAAAACAUUGUCAUUAUUGAUGUAAACUCUCCUAUGCAGUGCUACAGGCGUCGGAAACCCGUUUUUUCUAUUUUAACUGCAGAUAUAAGCUACAAAUUAAUUUAGUCAUUAUGGAACAAAAUGCAUUGUGCCACAUCCGAAUAACCUACACAGUAUCCUUGAACAUCAUCUAUUUCAGUUGCCAUGUUUAUAAAAUUAAUCUAAAAAACUUUACAAACAUAUUUAGGAGAAAGUUGGAAUUAGUUCUUCUAAAUUUCACUUGAUUUACACAGUACAACUUAAAAGUUGCAGUAUUAAAGUAGGUUGCAUACGACAGUUUUAGGCACAACUUAGUACACACGUAAAAACGCACAAGUUUGUUACAAGUUGUUAACAAGAUGUAUUCGCACUGCUUGUCACAAGUUGUCAACAGGUUUGGAACAACUUGUUGACAACUUGUAACAACCUUGUCGAAAUUAUCAGACUUGUUGCAAGGUUGUUCUGACAAGUCUGUGACAUGCUUGAUAUAACAAGAUUGUUACAACCUUGUGUUGACAACCUUGUAACAUCCUUGUUAUAUCAUGGCUGUAACAAACGUGUUAGCACAAUCUUGUAACAAGGCUGAUAAUGCCAUCAAGCUUGUUACAAGUUGUUAACAGCUUGUUUCAAACGUGUUACAACAAACUGGGAACAAGCAGUGCGAGCACAACUUGUUGACAGCUUGUGAACAGACGUGUAACAACUUGUUUGCAGACUUAUUAAUUGUUACAACUUGUGCGUUUUUACGUGUGUAGUGUAUAUUGGCCUUUACUGUGCAACAGUGCGUGCUGUCAGUAAUGUCUGGUGCAUGUUAAAGGAAGUGACACGAAAAUUAUGCAGGCCUUAAAAUAUCUUUUACAGGGCCGUCUGACAAAAUGUCCGAUGACGUUGAGUUUGGGUCGGACAUAUGUCCGAUGACCUUCAGUUCAGUUUUGACUUGGAAAUAAUUCUGAAUGACACAAAUGUUGUGAAGAUUUUAAAUAAUUUGUUUCUUUCAUACUUAUUUCCAAGCCAAAAUUAACUUGCUUUCCAGAACAGCAGUAAAAGACUUUACAACUUAAACCCGUUUUCCACUUCACCAUUUCGCUCGCCGCCCCGCGCUCGACUACGUUAAAACGACAUUUACAGUUCACCUUUUAUACAACAGUACUCUGAUUUUCCAAUUAACCUACAAGCCUCUAGUCCUGGGCUAGGGUACAUUUUGAUUUACGAUGGACAAAGCUACAGUUCGGUCGGACGCAAAUAUACUCAGGUCGGACAAACAAUAAACCUCAGUUUCACUUAGGUCGGACAGAAUGUCCGGUGGUUUCCUCCCUACGUCGGAUAAUUUCACGAAUGGGUCGGACAAUGUCCGUGACCGACCGAUAUUUUAAGGCCUGAAUUAUGUUAUUCUAAAAUGAUGCUUUUUAUAAUUUUAUUGGAAAGAUUUUUCAAGAUGGUAGUAUAACAUUCUUUAGCUUAUUAGGUUUUUCCAUAUUUCUUUUAAGUCCCGAUCACAAAUGUUCGCUUGAAAUGUAAAUCACAACUUACAAAUCACAUUGCAUAAUGAGCCUGUCAAAUUAAAAUUUGAAGCCUUUUUAGUAUAAAAUUAAUUGAUGGCCGUAUUUGCUAGUGAAGCAAAACCUAAUCAACUUCAAAUAUCGUUUUCCCAUUGGACUACCACCUAAGAUCUUUUCAUUUUAGCACCAAUGAACCAAGUGGCAUUGUAUUAAUUAGUUUCUAGCGCAUAUUACACGACAUAUAAAAAUAUCUCCUCUAAAUUUUGUUUUUAGUUAACAACAUACACUGUCCUAAUGCAAGUGAAUUCUGGUAAAGUGGAAACAUAUCGUCGAUAUUGCAAGGAUCCAUGUUUUCCUUGGUAAUAUCUUCUUCAAUUCAUCAGACUGACUUAAUUAGUGAGCUCAAUAUAUAUUGAUGCAGCAGCAAUGCUGCAUGCAUGAGUAAUAUCUUAGACACUGAAAGUGACAAAGCGAAACUCGAUUUAUAUGGACGUCAGUUUCAAUCCUCUAGCUGGAGCAUGGUUGUUAUAAGACCUGGUUAGGAAACCCGGCAAACUUCAAAGAAAGUACGCUAUCAACCAACAUGGAGGUUGAACAGUCAGUUUGACCCUGCACAUAUUGGUUUUAAUCAAUGAGAAUUGACAAAACGAUGUAACACAAACAUUCUCCAUCGAAAAAUGGUGGUAAUACUGUACUUCGUUAUUUGGAAAAUAUAUGCCGCAAGAUAUAGCCCCGGUAGGCAAAACAAAUACUUGGUACCCAUUCCCUUCGCCAAGCUUUCUGAACUGACUAUUGUCAAACAAUAGAAAGACAAAGGAUUUUUCAACCGUGACCCUGCACAAGGCACACAAUCACCUAAAACAAAGGGUUUCCAAACCAUGUCAUAUAUAUUAACCCUAUGGCUGGAGGCAAUGACAUUUUUUUGUGGUUAAAACGUGUGAGUGGACUGGAACUGACGUCGUUACUGUCGAUGCAAUGGAAGUGUUGAUAAAAUAUUGCAUGAAUUCAUUUCCUCAAGUUGAUCAAUUCAUACGAAUUCAAAUUUCUUUUUACUUCCUGUGCGUUUCCUAUUGGUCAAUCGGUUCUGAAACGAAAUCUAAUUGGCUCAUCUAAAAGUAACAGGAAAUCAGGCCCCCCAUAAAUUUGAGGGCCUGCCACGCAGGUAGAUAGAUAGAUAGAAAAAUCCUUUGUCUUUCUAUUGUUUUUCCUAGAAGGAAUUGGUGCAAUAUUUUAUCAACACUUCCAUUGCAUCGUCAGUAAGAUAAUGUUUUUGGAGAAUUUACUUGUAAGAUCUUACUUUAUGUUAUACAGGGUGUCCCAAAAAAACGAAAACUAUUGCAAUCACCAAUAACAAUUUAAUUGUUAGAAUUUGAAUGUCUUAGCACUCUGUUGGUUCCCACGAGUGCAUAAAUGAUUGACAUAAGUAAAUUUUAUGCAUAAAGAAACUGUUUAAGAAGCUGUUUUAAAUUCCCAAGAGCAGAAGAUCGCGCACUUUACAAUGAGAUGAUUUUAACUAAAUUUUAAUACAUGCACCUUGUCAAUAUUUUACGCAUCAUUACGUUCAGCUGUUUGGAAGGGCAUUCAAAUUUAACAAUAGUGAUUUCAAAAGUUUUCGGGGUUUUUGGGACACCCUGUAUAUACAUUGAACUCAAUUGACUAAACAGUCAUGCAGUAUGAUUUUUAAUAAUUACUGAAUAUUAUAAUACAAAAGGAAAUCAUGGUUUUGGUUGAAUGCCAACAAGCUUUUCAUGGUUAAAUAUCUAAUAUAGGUGGGGAGUUUAAAUUAAUUAAAAAGAAAAUGAAAUGUAUAGUGAUUUUAUUAAAAUUUUUGCUUCAGUAGGCUCAGUGAUGGAAAGUUAUUAUAUUUGGAAUGAUAUUGUAAACUAGCGCGAAAAAGCGGG